rnacentral:rRNA from 1 species
UUGAAGGGACGCGGCGUGGUAGGUCAGCCUCUUAACGGAUUGAGGUGCCAAACGCGUAGGACGUUGAAGGGUGUAGGUAAGUCCGCACCCCGAGUCCGAAACGUGAUGGCGGUGCCUUAGAGCCACAAGUGAUUGAGCCAUGCCGCCUAGAAAAGCUUCUAAGCGUUGAUAUUUGAGUGACCGUACCGCAAACCGACACUGGUAGGUGGGUAGAAUAUACCAAGGGGAGCGAGAGAACCCUCGUUAAGGAAUUAGGCAAAUUUCCCCCGUACGUUCGCAAUAAGGGGGGCCUCUGGUGGUGAGCUUAAUCGCAAAGCUGCUGGAGGCCGCAGAGAAAUGGCUCUUCCAACUGUUUAACAAAAACACAGGUCUCUGCUAAGUCGAAAGACGAAGUAUAGGGGCUGACGCCUGCCCAGUGCUGGAAGGUUAAGGGGAGAGGUUAGGCGCAAGCCGAAGCUUUGAGCCGAAGCCCCAGUGAACGGCGGCCGUAACAAUAACGGUCCUAAGGUAGCGAAAUUCCUUGUCGGGUAAGUUCCGACCCGCACGAAUGGCGUAAUGAGAGGAGCACUGUCUCAACGAGGGACUCGGCGAACAUUGAAGGACGUGUGAAGAUACACGUGACCCGCAGCGGGACAAAAAGACCCCGUGAAGCUUUACUACAACUUGCCAUUGAGUUAGGGCUAAACCUGUGUAGUAUAGGUGGGAGGCUUUGAAGCUGGGACGCCAGUCUCGGUGGAGCCACCGUUGAAAUACCACCCUGGUUUAUUCUUGGCUCUAACCUGUCGCCGUUAUCCGGCAUGGGAACAGUGGCUGGUGGGUAGUUUGACUGGGGCGGUCGCCUCCGAAAGCGUAACAGAGGCGCCCAAAGGUUCCCUCAGGCUGAAUGGAAACCAGCCGUUGAGUGUAAAGGCACAAGGGAGCUUGACUGCAAGACCAACAAGUCGCGCAGGGACGAAAGUCGGGCUUAGUGAUCCCACGGUUCAGAGUGGAAUGGCCGUGGCUUACCGGAUAAAAGCUACUCCGGGGAUAACAGGGUAGUCUGGUCCAAGAGUUCAUAUCGACGACCAGGUUCGCCACCUCGAUGUCGGCUCAUCACAUCCUGGGGCUGGAUAAGGUCCCAAGGGUUGGGCUGUUCGCCCAUUAAAGUGGUACGUGAGCUGGGUUCAGACCGUCGUGAGACAGGUCGGUCUCUAUCCGCUGUGGGCGUAAGGGAUUUGAGAGAAGCUGCCCCUAGUACGAGAGGACCGGGGUGGACGGACCUCUAGUGUGCCAGUUGUUCUGCCAAGGGCAUUGCUGGGUAGCUACGUCCGGCAGAGAUAACCGCUGAAAGCAUCUAAGUGGGAAACUCGUCUCAAGAUUAGAUCCCUCAUCCGUAUGGAGUAAGACCGCUAGAAGACUACUAGUUUGAUAGGCGGCAGGUGUAAGCGCAGUAAUGUGUUCAGCUUAGCCGUACUAAUGGUCGA